rnacentral:misc_RNA from 1 species
UUAACUUAUUUGCUUGUUUUCUCAGAGAGGCCACUAAAAUACAGAAUAGUUUUUGGCGCUCCGGCGGGCACCCCCCCGGAGGGAGGCAGCGUCCCCAGGGAGGGGACGCCCGCCGAGGCAACACGUACGGGUAACGUUCACAAUGGUUUGGGAGUCUUUUCAGAACUCUGUAAUGAUCCCUCCGCUGGUUCACCAACGGAGA